CCACAUAAGGGAGCUCAGACAGACAGUACGAUACACAGAGUAAGAGGAUGACCUUUUUCAGAGUUGAUGUCCAGAGCGAGCGAAGGAGUCAGAUAGUUCUAAGUAACCUUCACGCUGUGCCGCGCUUUUUUCAUCUCUCUUUAUCGCUGUCUUUGUCUGUCUUUGUCUGGGGUUUCAUUGCCGACGUUGGGUCAGUCAGAGGAACAGGCCAGGUCACCUUCUUUGUUUGACAGGAGGCAGACGGUGCACUGUGUGGGGGAGAGGCAGCUUAUUGGGCCUGAUGGAUGGAGGGCCACGGGACGCUGACAGGGCGGCAGCCUUGGUUGGAAGAGGACGGGGCAGAGUUGGAAAAAGGUGAUGUCACAUACUUUCAUCCAUCAAUCAGGAUUUGAUCAGAAUCUGGUGAGCUGUU